AGAGCUUAUAGGGUCUUUUCUUUCCUCUUCUGUGCCGGCUCUGGAUUCCUGCUUGAAUGUGAGCCGCUGAUAACAGGACGAAUUUCAGCUUUCGUUAUUACAUUUCAUCCACAUUAUUCAUUUUGCCAAAAUCUUUUAGGAAAAAUCUUUAGAGCAAAUUGCAGGAGACACCAGUUGAUUUGAGAUAUAAUUAAUUCAACCCCACCGAGCCUGCUGGAUAUCAGCCGUGUUUGGGUGUCUGGAGCGACAUUCCGUUUCCUGAAGAGUUGGAAAGUGAGUCAAAUCCUUCAACCGCAACCUUGUAGUCAGGAUCAGCAUCUCCCAUCGCACCGUACUCAUGAAUUUGCUCAUCGAGAAUGCGUGCGGGAUAUGAUUUG